rnacentral:rRNA from 1 species
AUGCAAGUGUUCUUGCAGCUUGGACUCGGUCUCGUAUUGCUUGCAUCACAGUAUGCACCUGGAACUGCGGUUCCUAGUUCAGGAUGCCGAAGACAGUGCGGUACUGUUGAAAUACCGUACCCAUUCGGCAUCGACCCGGGCUGCUCGCUCGCAGAAGGCUUCGACCUCAGUUGCAAGGUCCAAGAUGGCGUCCAGAAGCCAUUCAAGGGUGCCUUUGAGGUGCUCGACAUUUCUUUGACCGAAGGCACGACCCGGGUGCUUAAUUACAUCCUGGGGUACUGCUACAACACCUCCACAGGGAGCAUGGAGUAUUUUGGCCGAUAUGCGGGGUUCAAUGAAGGAGAUCCUUCUUCUCCCUACCGGUUCUCCGACGUCCAGAACAAGUUCACGGUCAUCGGGUGCAACGCCCUCAUCUUGAUAUACGACUUUGAUGCCACGGGCUACCAGGGCUUGGGCGUCGCAACAUGCCGCAAUUUGUCUGACUUGGUGGACGGAUCCUGCUCCGGCAUGGGCUGCUCCCAGACUGCAAUACCGAAGAGGAUGUACUACUAUGACAUAGCCUUCUCAGAAAUAGUCAACACAAGUGAAAUUUGGGAGUUCAACCGUUGUAGCUAUGUGGUACUGAUGGAGGCCGCGGCAUUCAAGUUCAGCACUGCCUACAUAAGCACAAAUAAGUUCAAUGAAACAUAUGAUGGACGGGUGCCAAUGAUUCUUGACUGGGCUAUGAGAGAUGUGAAGUCAUGUGAUGUUGCAGAACAGAAUAAGACGGGCACUUAUGCAUGCCUCAGCAGCAACAGCAAAUGCGUGAAUUCCACCAAUGAUCAAGGUUACAUGUGUAAUUGCACCAAUGGUUAUGAAGGCAACCCUUAUCUCCGAGAUGGAUGCAAAGACGUUAAUGAAUGCAAUCACAACCCAUGCCCUUCAGAUGGUUUUUGUCGCAAUAUCGGUGGAGAAUACCAGUGUUCUUGUGGACUUGGGAAAAAAUAUAUCCAAAAAAGCAAUACAUGCAACACUAACAUUGUCUUAACAAUAGGAAUUACAAUGGGAAUAUUCGGCCUAAUGGUUAUCAUCAUGUUCACAGUUUUUUGCGGGCAGAUUAUAAUGCAAAAGAGAAAACUGAAAAAAGUUAAGCAGGAGUAUUUUCAUCAGCAUGGAGGCUUACUUUUGUUUGACAAGAUGAAAUCAGAAAAAGGUCUUGCUUUCAAUGUAUUUUCAGAAGCUGAACUCAUACAUGCAACUGACAACUUCGACAAUAGUAGGAUACUUGGAAAAGGAGGCCAUGGAACGGUCUAUAAAGGGAUACUAAAGAACAUGCCUGUUGCAAUUAAAAGAUGUGCGAUAGUUGACGAAAGACAAAAGAAGGAAUUUGGCCAAGAGAUGCUUAUUUUGUCCCAAAUCAAUCACAAGAACAUUGUCAAACUCUUGGGUUGUUGCCUUGAGGUGGAAGUUCCAAUUCUAGUAUAUGAGUUUGUCCUAAACGGUACACUAUUCGAGCUUAUCCAUGGCAGAAACCAAGCAUUGCAAAUAUCCUUUAGCACUCUCUUAAGGAUUGCUCAUGAAGCAGCCGAAGGACUCAGCUUCCUGCAUUCAUAUGCGUCUCCCCCAAUAAUUCACGGUGAUGUAAAAACUUCCAACAUCUUGCUUGAUGAUAACUAUAUGGCCAAAGUGUCAGACUUCGGAGCUUCCAUACUAGCCCCAUCUGAUAAAGAGCAGUUUGUCACAAUGGUUCAAGGUACUUGUGGUUACCUUGACCCCGAAUACAUGCAAACAUGCCAGUUAACAGACAAAAGUGACGUAUACAGCUUUGGAGUUAUCCUUUUGGAGAUCCUCACGGGUCAGCUGCCACUGAAGCUUGAGGGGUCUGAGAAGCAAAGAAGCUUGUCAUUGAUUUUCCUAUCUGCAAUGAAGGAAAAUAAUCUAGAUGCCGUGUUGGCGAGCCACGUGAAAGGUCAAGAGAGCAUGGAGUUACUGAUAGGACUUGCGGACCUAGCUAAGAAGUGCCUAGAUAUGUGUGGUGAAAAUAGGCCCUCUAUGAAAGAGGUUGCCGAUGAGCUCAACCGAUUGAGGAAACUUUCAGUGCAUCCUUGGGCACGACUCGACAUCGAGACAAAUGCUGAAAACCUUCUCGGAGGAGAAUCUACGAGUGGGUAUGAAAUAGAAUUAAGCGGGUAUCCUACGGGUGAAAGUGAGGACCUACCCAUAAACCCAGGAAGUUCCUAUUAUGCAAGGUGA